GAAAAAAUGGCAUUUUCAAGUACAUGAGAUAUUUCUGCUUCAUUCUCAAUCUUUUAAUGUAGGAGGGGGGAACAAACCUUUGUUGAGGGACUUACUGUAUCCCUGUAUCUAAAGCAUCAGACAAAGACAAGCAUGGUUAACAAGGUGAGGGUAUGCCAUUAUGAAAAAGGGAUGAAGGCAAUUUGUAUGUGAGACCUAGGCUCACAAAGAAAAGUGAUCUGUGCUUGGAAGACUAUUUCUGCCCUUCUUUUCAAAGGAGAAAUGUGGGUAUGGCACACACCUAAGAGAUUCAAGGAUUCCUUUCCAUCAGGAAGGUUCACUUAGGGUCUCUACAGUUGCAAAUGGAUGGCACAGAAUGACAGCACUGUACUAGGAAACCAAACGUGCCUCAGAAGAAACCAACAACCACAACACGCACACCCUUCCAACGGGAGAAAUGUGGGAAGUUCUGAGAAGCUAUGCAGUCGCUAACCAACCAGACUCGGGAUCGUAUGCUACCUGGACAAGGGCUCAUUUAAUACUGUUUGCGGAUAAUAAACAGGUGGAAGGCGUCUCGUCUCACUAAAGCACA